rnacentral:rRNA from 1 species
AACUCGGGGCCUCACGGCUUACGAGAUUGCAAUGAGAACAAUUUAAAAUACUUAACGAGGAACAAUUGGAGGGCAAGUCUGGUGCCAGCAGCCGCGGUAAUUCCAGCUCCAAUAGCGUAUAUUAAAGUUGUUGCAGUUAAAAAGCUCGUAGUUGAAUUUAUGACGAUUGCGUAAACUGGCUUCGGUCGUCUACGUGGUCGUCAUCCGCUUGGGAACCCCGUUCGGUCUUCAUUGGUCGGCGGGAGGAUCAGGCAUUUUACUUUGAAAAAAAAUAAGAGUGUUCAAGGCAGGCAAUCGCCAUGAAUACAAAAGCAUGGAAUAAUGGAAUAGGACUGUGAUCCAUUUUAUUGGUUAUUGGAUUACAGUAAUGAUUAAUAGGGACAGUUGGGGGCAUUAGUAUUUAAUUGUCAGAGGUGAAAUUCUUGGAUUACUUAAAGACUAACUUAUGCGAAAGCAUUUGCCAAGGAUGUUUUCAUUAAUCAAGAACGAAAGUUAGGGGAUCAAAGACGAUCAGAUACCGUCCUAGUCUUAACUAUAAACUAUGCCGACUAGGGAUUGGCUGGGUCUCUCGAGCCCAGUCAGCACCUUAUGAGAAAUCAAAGUCUUUGGGUUCUGGGGGGAGUAUGGUCGCAAGGCUGAAACUUAAAGGAAUUGACGGAAGGGCACCACCAGGAGUGGAGCCUGCGGCUUAAUUUGACCCAACACGGGGAAACUUACCAGGUCAAGACAUGGGUGGGAUUGACAGAUUGAGAGCUCUUUCUUGAUUCUAUGGGUGUGGUGCAUGGCCGUUCUUAGUUGGUGGAGUGAUUUGUCUGGUUGAUUCCGUUAACGAACGAGACCUUAACCUGCUAACUAGUUGCCCUAUGAAUAAUGGGGUUAACUUCUUAGAGGGACUAUACGUUCAAGCGUAUGGAAGUUUGAGGCAAUAACAGGUCAGUGAUGCCCUUAGAUGUCCUGGGCCGCACGCGCGCUACACUGACACAUGCAACGAGUACAACCUGGUCCGACAGGACUCGGGUAAUCUUCAUAGUAUGUGUCGUGCUGGGGAUUGAUCUUUGCAAUUAUAGAUCAUGAACGAGGAAUUCCUAGUAAGCAUAAGUCAUCAGCUUGUGCUGAUUACGUCCCUGCCCUUUGUACACACCGCCCGUCGCUCCUACCGAUUGAGUGAUUCGGUGAACUUUCUGGACUGUUUUAGUCUUCAAGGCUAGAACGGGAAGUUAAGUAAACCAUAUCUCUUAGAGGAAGAAGAAGUCGUAACAAGGUUUCCGUAGGUGAACCUGCGGAAG